UACGUAGCCGAAAAGGGGGCCUCAUCUCCUCGAGCCUCCAGCGGUCGUCGCGUUCGGACCUUCGCUUUCCGUCCACACUUCGGUGGGGAUAACCGGCGAGGGCCGUCGCGACGGCGGACUCGGAGGAUAGGGGGGUGGAUUUCCCUCCUCAGUAGGCAGUCGCGGCCGCUCGAGAGUUGUCUAAGACCCGGGAGUCGGGAACCGUCCGGCGAAGUAAUAUUCGCCGGCGGGGACGCUCCCUCGAUUCUGGCGGACUCUCGGACGGUUGAUAAAAAAUGACGACGUAGAGGAGAGCAAAUCCCUCGUCGUACGCGGCUGUAAUGCGAUCGUUCAUCCGUCCCGUCUUGAAACACGGACCAAGGAGUCUAACAUGUACGCGAGUCAAAGGGUUGGCUAAACCCCAAGGCGCAACGAAAGUAAAAAAGGGAUGUCCUAUUCCAGGGACGCUCGUUGGGUCGAUCCGGGCUCCUAUUAGUAAUAGUAGGACCGGCGCAGACCCGGGGCUCGCCGCUACCUCUUCGAGACACGUCUCGAGGCGGGCGGCGGGCACCUAGAGCGUACAUGCUAGUACCCGAAAGAUGGUGAUCUAUGCUUGGCCAGGAUGAAGCCAGAGGAAACUCUGGUGGAGGUCCGUAGCGAUUCUGACGUGCAAAU
rnacentral:rRNA from 1 species